AAGUCGAACGCGUCCCGGUUGAUGAAGUUGAGUGCUUGCACUUGAUUGAUUCAACUUGGUGACGAGUGGCGAACUGGUGAGUAACACGUGGGUAACCUGCCCCGAAGCGGGGGAUAACAUUUGGAAACAGGUGCUAAUACCGCAUAACAACCAAAACCACCUGGUUUUGGUUUGAAAGACGGCUUCGGCUGUCACUUUGGGAUGGACCCGCGGCGUAUUAGCUAGUUGGUGAGGUAACGGCUCACCAAGGCGAUGAUACGUAGCCGACCUGAGAGGGUAAUCGGCCACAUUGGGACUGAGACACGGCCCAAACUCCUACGGGAGGCAGCAGUAGGGAAUCUUCCACAAUGGACGCAAGUCUGAUGGAGCAACGCCGCGUGAGUGAUGAAGGGUUUCGGCUCGUAAAACUCUGUUGUUGGAGAAGAACGGGUGUCAGAGUAACUGUUGACAUCGUGACGGUAUCCAACCAGAAAGCCACGGCUAACUACGUGCCAGCAGCCGCGGUAAUACGUAGGUGGCAAGCGUUGUCCGGAUUUAUUGGGCGUAAAGCGAGCGCAGGCGGUUUUUUAGGUCUGAUGUGAAAGCCUUCGGCUUAACCGGAGAAGUGCAUCGGAAACCGGGAGACUUGAGUGCAGAAGAGGACAGUGGAACUCCAUGUGUAGCGGUGAAAUGCGUAGAUAUAUGGAA
rnacentral:rRNA from 1 species